rnacentral:sRNA from 1 species
GUCGACGCCCGCGCCGCCGUUGAUCACGUCGGCGCCUCCAAGUCCCUGA